AUUGAACGCUGGCGGCAUGCCUUACACAUGCAAGUCGAACGGUAACGGGUCCUUCGGGAUGCCGACGAGUGGCGAACGGGUGAGUAAUAUAUCGGAACGUGCCCAGUAGUGGGGGAUAACUGCCCGAAAGAGCAGCUAAUACCGCAUACGACCUGAGGGUGAAAGGGGGGGAUCGCAAGACCUCUCGCUAUUGGAGCGGCCGAUAUCAGAUUAGCUAGUUGGUGGGGUAAAGGCCUACCAAGGCAACGAUCUGUAGUUGGUCUGAGAGGACGACCAGCCACACUGGGACUGAGACACGGCCCAGACUCCUACGGGAGGCAGCAGUGGGGAAUUUUGGACAAUGGGCGCAAGCCUGAUCCAGCAAUGCCGCGUGCAGGAAGAAGGCCUUCGGGUUGUAAACUGCUUUUGUCAGGGAAGAAAUCUUCUGGGCUAAUACCCCGGGAGGAUGACGGUACCUGAAGAAUAAGCACCGGCUAACUACGCGCCAGCAGCCGCGGUAAUACGUAGGGUGCGAGCGUUAAUCGGAAUUACUGGGCGUAAAGCGUGCGCAGGCGGCUUUGCAAGACAGAUGUGAAAUCCCCGGGCUCAACCUGGGAACUGCAUUUGUGACUGCAAGGCUAGAGUACGGCAGAGGGGGAUGGAAUUCCGCGUGUAGCAGUGAAAUGCGUAGAUAUGCGGAGGAACACCAAUGGCGAAGGCAAUCCCCUGGGCCUGUACUGACGCUCAUGCACGAAAGCGCGGGGAGCAAACAGGAUUAGAUACCCUGGUAGUCCACGCCCUAAACGAUGUCAACUGGUUGUUGGACGGCUUGCUGUUCAGUAACGAAGCUAACGCGUGAAGUUGACCGCCUGGGGAGUACGGCCGCAAGGUUGAGACUCAAAGGAAUUGACGGGGACCCGCACAAGCGGUGGAUGAUGUGGUUUAAUUCGAUGCAACGCGAAAAACCUUACCUACCCUUGACAUGUCAAGAAUUCUGCAGAGAUGUGGAAGUGCUCGAAAGAGAACUUGAACACAGGUGCUGCAUGGCCGUCGUCAGCUCGUGUCGUGAGAUGUUGGGUUAAGUCCCGCAACGAGCGCAACCCUUGUCAUUAGUUGCUACGCAAGAGCACUCUAAUGAGACUGCCGGUGACAAACCGGAGGAAGGUGGGGAUGACGUCAGGUCCUCAUGGCCCUUAUGGGUAGGGCUACACACGUCAUACAAUGGCCGGUACAGAGGGCUGCCAACCCGCGAGGGGGAGCCAAUCCCAGAAAACCGGUCGUAGUCCGGAUCGUAGUCUGCAACUCGACUGCGUGAAGUCGGAAUCGCUAGUAAUCGCGGAUCAGCUUGCCGCGGUGAAUACGUUCCCGGGUCU
rnacentral:rRNA from 1 species